rnacentral:rRNA from 1 species
GGACCUGCGGAGAUCAUUA